rnacentral:rRNA from 1 species
GACGAACGCUGGCGGCGUGCUUAACACAUGCCAGUCGAACGGAAAGGCCCUGCUUUUGUGGGGUGCUCGAGUGGCGAACGGGUGAGUAACACGUGAGUAACCUGCCCUUGACUUUGGGAUAACUUCAGGAAACUGGGGCUAAUACCGGAUAGGAGCUCCUGCUGCAUGGUGGGGGUUGGAAAGUUUCGGCGGUUGGGGAUGGACUCGCGGCUUAUCAGCUUGUUGGUGGGGUAGUGGCUUACCAAGGCUUUGACGGGUAGCCGGCCUGAGAGGGUGACCGGCCACAUUGGGCCUGAGGUACGGACCAGACUCCUACGGGAGGCAGCAGUGGGGAAUAUUGCCCAAUGGGCGGAAGCCUGAUGCAGCAACGCCGCGUGCGGGAUGACGGCCUUCGGGUUGUAAACCGCUUUCGCCUGUGACGAAGCGUGAGUGACGGUAAUGGGUAAAGAAGCACCGGCUAACUACGUG